UUUUUUUUUUUUUUUUUUUAACGCUUACAUUUAAAUAGGCCUAUACAUUAAUCACUGCUAUGAGAAUGAAACCGUUUGAUGCUAUGCAUUCGUAACCAGCAAUGCUUCCAUCUCCCUGUAACUCCCCACUGAACAGAGCUGGUAGGUGUGUAACCAUAUAUUUAGAUUUUUAUUUAUAAUGAAGGAGCUCUUCCAGAAGGCAGAAGGAAGGGAUGAUUCUCUUGUUUGAGCCAGAUCGGUGGGGGAUGGGACUAUUUGUAAGGAAUGUAGGGGGCAGGUCCCUUUCCAAGAGGGGAGGAAAGGAAAGGGAGGGAAUGCGAGGAGGGGAGGUCGCCCAUAGUGACAUUUUACUCUUGGUCAGUAUCUGCAAGGUUAUGCAAGUUGAACUUUUUGGUUGUCUCAUCAAAAGACUGGACAUCUGGCCAAAACGAAGUGUAAUCUAUCGGUUGAUACGUAGGGAGGUCAGCGUGUGUGAAUGCACUGGCGCAAUACAUCCUGAUUUAUAUGCGUGCAGAAGUGAUAUGUGUCACCCUGGCGACUCGCAUAUUUUUAAAGCAAAUAUGCUGCAUGCGAUUCGUGCAAAAAUAAAUACAAUUUCUUACACGAUGCGCGCGGAGUUAUUUCGGUAUUUAUUCUUGUGAGUAUUGUUUUUUUCGUGUUUGGGGUUUAACAUCUAUGUGGUGUAACUGCCGAGCUUGUAAAAACCUUAAUUUAAAGGGAAAAAAAAUAUUGAGUGAAAAAACAAUAUUGACAUAAGACAAUAUAUGGAUUUUUUUUACUUAAUACAUCUAAUAUUUACAGUCGCGUGUUCUAACAAACAAUCUGCAACCAUUUUGUUGUCAUAUGACUCGCCUGAGUCUAGAUUAUUUUAUUAUAAAACCAUCCUCUUAUGAAAAAGCACUCUUCAUUCACUGCUUCAAAUGAGGUAUAGGGACUUCGUCACAGCGCAACUUUAUGAUAUUUAUGACAUUGCAAAAAAUCUUAACAGUUGUGCAAAUUCACGUGAAUCCUUUUUAAAACUUCAACUUGUAUUGUUUGCACUGGUCCGUUCAAAAAAACCCGAUGCACGACAAUUUGGCACGCGCGUUUUAAACUUGACAAUUAAAAGACUUAUUUUUAUCAUCCGGUGCAUUUGUCGUUGACCCGUAUGUACAGAGGCUCCACAGCAGAAGGUAAGCUGGAGACUCACCGGUCUGAACUGGGUGUAUGAGGAAUGUUGCGCUAAAUACCGCAACGCGCAUGCGCAGCGCAUUCACAGGCCACUAUAUAGCAUACUGAGGCCUACAGCUCCUCCGUUCUCAUGAUCCUGGUUCAGCUCUCAGCUAGUGGGCUUUGAAGCUUCACGUGAGGAUUGGGCGUCGUGUUCUCGACCUGUUGUCGUGAUUCAACAUUUUGACUGCAAGUUAACUGCACGGAACCUGAUUGGUAAAUUGUUUAACGUGUUUUAUUACCGAGGGGGACAAGUAAGAUCAUGCAUGUGAGUUCAAUGUGAAAUUCCCAAAGGAGAAAAAAAAAACAUCCUGUUGGAGCAUGUCGUUAACUCCAAGGCAGAAGCUGGUAUGCUUGGAAUUGCAGAGCACCAAGACUGCUUUUGGACGCAGAUAACCAAAGGGCCUACAAUAUGCUUUCCACUCUGUUUCUCAUAUUUGAAUGCCUGAGUCAGUCCACCAGCGUGGCUUCAAAGGAAUGCGUCUUUAUUGAUAGCAUGCAUGCAUGUAUUGGUAUUAGAUGAUUGUUUUUAAGUAGGCUGUUUAAAACGCCAGAUGUGCUAAAAAUGACGUUUUUGAAAAAAGUCACAUUUGUUAUUCUAAAUGUUCAUGGUGAUUUCUGUUGUAUGCUUAAGGGUGAAAGCGGUUAAACUCAAUGUAAAAACCCUCAACGUUUUUGCUCUAUUAAACACAUUUUAUACGAAGCGUGUUGUUUAGCAGCAAAUAAACUGCACAGAAUUCUGCUUAAAAUGAAUUUUGAGUUGCAUUUUGCCAUUGACUCGGUUCGUUUCUAGGCUGUGUAGGGUCAGAUGUCACAAAGAGGUUUACGUAUCGUGUGUAGUAGAGCAGGAACCAUUUUCAGUCUCACCAUUUAGGCAUUUAAACCCCUAGAUAUUAUGUUUUGCUCAGCCGCGCUAUCUUUUUGCUAAAGUGCUGUGAUUUAUCAUGCUUAAUAAAUCUUGCAGGCGAGACCCUAUCAAUAUUGCCUCUGCUUUUUUCACUGUUUAUGGAGUAGUGCAAUAUUGCUUAUAGGGUCUUGACUUUAAGGGUAAUCUGCAAUUUCAGGAACGUU